rnacentral:misc_RNA from 1 species
UGGCUCCAGCAUCGAUGAAGAACGCAGCGAAACGCGAUAGCUAGCGCGAAUUGCAGAUUUACGUGAGUCAUCGAGUCUUUGAACGCACAUUGCGCCCCUCGGUAUUCCGUGGGGCAUGCCUGUCCGAGCGUCGUUUCGCCGCUCAGGCCCCCGCCCUUUGUCGGGCAGCGGGGCCUGGUGUUGGGGCUCGCCGCCGCCCUCGUGCGGCCGGCGUCCCUGGAAACCAUCGGCGGCGCCUGCAAACGGCUCGCGGUCCAGCGUUGAUGGGCCCAAAGAGCCGGCGCGGCGCGCCUGCCCACACCGAUCUUCUCAAGGUCGACCUCGGAUCAGGUAGGGAUACCCGCUGA